UGCAACGGAGUUCGACAAUGUUAAAGAUCGGCGGAGGCGCGGUGCUGCUCGCAGCAAUCGUGGCCGUGUUCGUGGUCGCCACACAGGGCCGGGAUCCGGACCUGGAGGCGUCAGAACAGGAGGGGAGAGAGUACAUUAUGCACUUGGACAAAAUGGCCGGCGCCAGGAAGAACCGAGCCAGCCUCGCGGAAUGGGCGUACACAUCUAAUAUUACAGAAGAGAAUGAGGA